UUAAAUGUUGGGAUUAAUUAAUUACAUUGGAGAUUUUCGUGAACCGUGAGAUUAGGCAAGAAUCAACGACGCCGGACCCGUCUGAUGAAAGCUUCCUAUCAAACCUCUGAUAGGAAGUGUUUUCCUAUAUUUGGCCAACAAGGCAUGGAUAUUUUGGCUCACCAACAUAUAGAUUCAUGUGUAUUAUUUCGGCAUUUGGAAGCAAAAAAAAAAA
rnacentral:lncRNA from 1 species